AACGAACGCUGGCGGCAGGCUUAACACAUGCAAGUCGAGCGCCCCGCAAGGGGAGCGGCAGACGGGUGAGUAACGCGUGGGAAUCUACCCAUCUCUACGGAAUAACGCAUGGAAACGUGUGCUAAUACCGUAUACGUCCCUCGGGAGAAAGAUUUAUCGGAGAUGGAUGAGCCCGCGUUGGAUUAGCUAGUUGGGGGGGUAAAGGCCUACCAAGGCGACGAUCCAUAGCUGGUCUGAGAGGAUGAUCAGCCACACUGGGACUGAGACACGGCCCAGACUCCUACGGGAGGCAGCAGUGGGGAAUAUUGGACGAUGGGCGCAAGCAUGAUCCCGCCAUGCCGGGUGAGUGAUGUAGGCCCUAGGGUUGUAAAGCUCUUUCACCGGUGAAGAUAAUGACGGUAACCGGAGAAGAAGCACCGGCUAACUUCGUGCCAGCCGCCGCAGUAAUAC
rnacentral:rRNA from 1 species